GGACAGCGACAUCCUGUUACGGCUUUUCCGAGACGCAGAAGGGUUAAUGAGCCUCCCAGAAGCCCUGACUUCCUCCCAGUGAGUCACUGGGCACAGAGGAGACCAGACCCAUAUAUCCUCAUGACAUCUAUUGGCGAGAAGUGGUUGCUGCCCCCUUUCAGACCAAGCAAGGACCAUUUGUCAUAGUCAACACCACGUGCCCUGACUAGUCUCUGUGGACAUUUGAUUUUUGCGAUCCCAGAUAAAGCAGAAGACCACAUAAAGAAACAGUGGCAAGACACUGUGUAACCCAGCUGAUUCCUUUCUUCAGCAGAUACAGAUAGUUACACCGUGCUUCAACAUGGCAGACACUAGCCAGGCAAGGUCUCUCUGAAUGGCACCAUAACUGCUACCUGGUUCAUUUAUCUCUGCUCUUAGCCCCACUGGCAAGCUCAAUCUUGCCCCAGGCUCUGGGACCAAUAUUUUCAAGUGGGGAAAUUAAAGACACAGAAGUAAGACA